rnacentral:misc_RNA from 1 species
CCGACGCUGGAUUGGUAUAGGAGAUUGAGAAUAGCUGCUGAGACAGCUAGUGUUCUUGCAUUCCUACAAUGUGAGGUGUCUCCUCCAAUUUUCCACAACCAUCUCGAAUCGUGUCAUAUCUUUCUCGACACGAAUUUCUCGAGUAAAGUUUCAGGAUUUGGGUUUCUAAGCUCUUCAAUGGAAGACAAAUCUCACUCUCUUGAAGCCUCAUCAUUCCACAACAAUGAUGUUUAUGACUUUGGAGUUGUGUUACUUGAAAUGGUCACAGGGUUAAAGAAUUCAGAUCUCCCAAUGGUAGCAUUGCAAAAGAUUAGAAUUGGGAAGCUAGAAGAGGUUGUGGAUCCACUUCUAUACUAUCAUGAGAAACCUCCCCACAGUAGAGAGCAAAUAGAGAUAGUAGCAGACCUUGCCACAAGGUGCUUGCUUUUCGGUCGAGACGGGAAGUUGCGAAUGAGCGAUGUUUUGAAGGAGUUGACGCACGUAAUGAAAGAAAGCGCCGUCGAUGGAGGCAGCAUGAGAGGGCCUGCAAUAGAGGAAACUUUUUCCAAUUCAAGCCUUCUUCAAAUGAUAUCAAUGUCUCCUGACUCCAUCCUUGCUCCAUGAAUAGCCAGAUGUUUGCCUAUCAAAAUACCUUCUUUUUCUUUCCUAUGUAACUGGUUGUUCAUUGAUCAGAACUUUGCCUUGCUUCUUUACAAUUUCA